CCUAGGGUGGCAGCAGUGGGGAAUAUUGGACAAUGGGCGAAAGCCUGAUCCAGCCAUGCCGCGUGUGUGAAGAAGGCCUUCGGGUUGUAAAGCACUUUCAGUGGGGAAGAAAGCCUUGGGGCUAAUACCCUCGAGGAAGGACAUCACCCACAGAAGAAGCACCGGCUAACUCCGUGCCAGCAGCCGCGGUAAUACGGAGGGUGCGAGCGUUAAUCGGAAUUACUGGGCGUAAAGCGCGCGUAGGCGGUCUGAUAAGCCGGUUGUGAAAGCCCCGGGCUCAACCUGGGAACGGCAUCCGGAACUGUCAGGCUAGAGUGCAGGAGAGGAAGGUAGAAUUCCCGGUGUAGCGGUGAAAUGCGUAGAGAUCGGGAGGAAUACCAGUGGCGAAGGCGGCCUUCUGGACUGACACUGACGCUGAGGUGCGAAAGCGUGGGUAGCAAACAGGAUUAGAUACCCGAGUAGC
rnacentral:rRNA from 1 species